rnacentral:rRNA from 3 species
GCGAACGCUGGCGGCAGGCUUAACACAUGCAAGUCGAGCGGAUGUAGCAAUACAUCAGCGGCAGACGGGAGAGUAACACGUGGGAACGCGCCCUUCGGUUCGGAAUAACUCAGGGAAACUUGAGCUAAUACCGGAUACGCCCUAACGGGGAAAGAUUUAUUGCCGAAGGAACGGCCCGCGUCGGAUUAGCUAGUUGGUGAGGUAAUGGCUCACCAAGGCGACGAUCCGUAGCUG